CUACGGGCGGCAGCAGUGAGGAAUAUUGGUCAAUGGGCGAAAGCCUGAACCAGCCAUGCCGCGUGAAGGAUGACGGCCCUAUGGGUUGUAAACUUCUUUUAUACGGGAAGAAACACCUCUACGUGUAGAGGUUUGACGGUACCGUACGAAUAAGCAUCGGCUAACUCCGUGCCAGCAGCCGCGGUAAUACGGAGGAUGCAAGCGUUAUCCGGAUUUAUUGGGUGUAAAGGGUACGUAGGCGGAAACUUAGGUCAGUAGUGAAAUCCCGCAGCUUAACUGUGGAACUGUUAUUAAUACUGGGUUUCUUGAAUAUUGUUGGGGUAGGCGGAAUAAGUAAUGUAGCGGUGAAAUGCUUAGAUAUUACUUAGAACACCGAUUGCGAAGGCAGCUUACUAAGCAAUUAUUGACGCUGAGGUACGAAAGCGUGGGGAGCGAACAGGAUUAGAUACCCUAGUAGUC
rnacentral:rRNA from 1 species